rnacentral:rRNA from 1 species
ACGGGGGGGGCAAGCGUUGUUCGGAAUUACUGGGCGUAAAGGGUUCGUAGGUGGUCUGCUAAGUCAGACGUGAAAUCCCUCAGCUUAACUGGGGAACUGCGUCUGAUACUGGCGGACUUGAGGACAGGAGAGGAACGCGGAAUUCCAGGUGUAGCGGUGAAAUGCGUAGAUAUCUGGAGGAACACCGGUGGCGAAGGCGGCGUUCUGGACUGUUUCUGACACUGAUGAACGAAAGCCAGGGGAGCAAACGGGA